rnacentral:rRNA from 1 species
UACAGAGGUCUCAAGCGUUGUUCGGAUUCAUUGGGCGUAAAGGGUGCGUAGGCGGCGCGGUAAGUCGGGUGUGAAAUCUCGGGGCUUAACUCCGAAACUGCAUUCGAUACUACCGUGCUUGAGGACUGGAGAGGAGACUGGAAUUUACGGUGUAGCGGUGAAAUGCGUAGAUAUCGUAAGGAAGACCAGUGGCGAAGGCGGGUCUCUGGACAGUUCCUGACGCUGAGGCACGAAGGCCAGGGGGAGCGAACAGG